rnacentral:rRNA from 1 species
UGGAGCCUGAUCCAGCCAUCCCGCGUGAAGGAUGACGGUCCUAUGGAUUGUAAACUUCUUUUGUACAGGGAUAAACCUGCCCUCGUGAGGGCAGCUGAAGGUACUGUACGAAUAAGCACCGGCUAACUCCGUGCCAGCAGCCGCGGUAAUA